UUCCGAAGCGCGUGCUUCAUGACGAUGUUCGGGAACGACACCCCCUUGAGCCGGGCGGUUCGGAUAUAUUGCGCCGUCAUGACUUCGGUCAUCGAUGCCCGCGUCAUCCGGGCGAUAUAGCCCAUCCCGUAGAGCGCGAUCGUCAGGACCGGCAGGGUAAAGUUGGCGAAGGUGAUGUCGUCC
rnacentral:ncRNA from 1 species